rnacentral:tRNA from 1 species
GUCAGGAUGGCCGAGCGGCUCUAAGGCGCUGCGUUCAGGUCGCAGUCUCCCCUGGAGGCGUGGGUUCUAAUCCCCACUUCUGACA